rnacentral:lncRNA from 1 species
CCAGUCUGUGGUAUUCUGUUAUAGCAGCAGAAAAUGGAUGAAGACAGGCACCUUAACAAUUCUUAGGUUGAAGCUAAGAAGAGCAGAGCAAGGCUGCUGCUGUGCUUGGUGCUGAUGCUGCAGUCUCUCACACUGGCCAAGAUAGAGGGAACGUUGAUUGUUUUGUGGUUUGGAACAUGCUCGUGUUUUGUCUGUAAUCUGAUAUGAUCACAGUUGUUCUUGUUUUUGUCUUGCUUCCUCAUGUCACAGAUGGUUCUGUGUGAUCCAGGUGUUCCGUGAAGUGUGGGUUCACCAGGAGAACAGCUUCGCCUGACUGUAAGCAACAGGACGGCUCCCAUCUGAUGACAUAACAACUUGGACAGAUUGCAAGAGAAUAGUGCAAAAGGCUGGUCUCAAAAUGCUCCAGGCUGAAUGCUUCCAUUUGUGUAAUAUUCUUCAAGUGACACAAUUACAGAGAGGAAGCUUUUAAAGAAUAGCAGAUCAGCUUCAACUCCCAUAAGUAAAAGGACUUAAGUUCUGAGAAGGUGGGGGAUCAGGGGCGGCCAGUUCCAGGCUCAGUGGAGGUAGCAGGUGUUUCUGCUCAGCCUCGGUGGAUCUUCUGCAUCGGCUUGGUCUUGUGACCCCAUACCCCCACUUUGUGGCACCUCCUGUCCUGGCUCUGACCCAUUGCCUAGCCCCCAUCUGGGCUCUGAUCCAUCCCAGGUCUCUCCCAGCAUGGACACGUGAAAGCGAGUGGUGCCCACUUGCAGCUCUGAGGUUCCCGGAUAGAGAGGGAGGCUCUUUCCCAGCGCUCCCUGUGCAAGUCCUAGUCUGGUUCUGAUUGGCCACAGCGGGUCACAUGUUUGUCCCAGAACCAAUCACUGGAAACGGGAUGGAGUCGCUUGAUUGGUCAGGCCUGCAUCACAUGACCCCCUUGUGGGGUCAGCACCCAACCACAGAAAGGGCGUGGUGGGGGUGGGGGGUCUCUGUGAAGAGAAGAGGUGCCUGCAGCAGAGCCUGCCCUGUCCCCUCCGUGGUUCCACAUCCGUGCCUCUGAGGACCUUGGACCCCCAAAGCGAGGCCCGAAGGUGAGGGACGGCCGGUGUCAUCGUUGGAGCUUCCUAAGAGUCCCAGAGGCUGAUGCACCUCCCAGACUCUCCUCGGCCCGGCUCCCUGGGCCCUGCUCCAGGGGCUUCAUUGCUCCCUGCCCCGGGUCACCCCUCGGCUCACCGUCUCUCAGGUGUGGAAUAUCCUGCUCCAAUCAAAGCCAUGUCACCUGCGUUGUCCAGUGAAACAUCAGUGGACAGGCGCUGCCCGGGCUCCAGGGAGCUCCUCACUGAGGCUCACUCCCUGUGCCUCUGCCAUCAGCACAGGGGGACAUGCCUGGCUGCCUGUGGGACCAGGGAGGACGCGCGGUGCGGGAGCAGAGCCAGCCACACUGCCGCUGCUGCACUGUUCAUCUGAGUGGCGCAAGGGCAAGGAGAGGACCGUGCAUCCUCAGUGACAGUGGUGCCUCACCAUGCUUUAGAGAAGCCUGUCCUUGCCCCCGAGCUGCUCUCCAUGGAGUCCUGUUUGCGCACCGGAGGUCCCUGUGAAGGAGCGUCCAUCAGGUCUGGACGUGCACCUGACCUCGCUGACUGAGAACGUGGUGACUAAGGUGACUAAUGCUCCAUUACUUCUGCGUCUGAUACCCAGGUCCAUGCAGGCUUCUCUGGCCUCUGUCCUUGGAUCCUUAAAUUAAUCCAAGGAUGCAGCAGUUGGGGCCUCACUGGAGAACUCGUGUAUUUACCACACAGGAGACUGAGGCAGGGAGUGGGUUACGGAGGGGACGGGAGAGCUGAGAAGUCAGAUGGGGGCUGGGAGGCAACUCAGAGGCCAGGAGAGAAGGCGGCGGCUCCAUCCCUGGGCUGGAGCGGGGUGGGUGGUGCUGGCGGAGCCCAGGGCUGGGGUCUCUGGGGAAGCUGGACCCACAGCAGCCUCGGUGUGCAGGAACGACGUGCGCAGCAGGCCGGAGGCUGCCUGAUUCUGACGCGUGUUCAUGGAGGCCCGUGUGCAGCGAUGAGCCCCAGCCAGCAUCCGGGUGAUCCCCAGCCAGCAUCCGGGUGAUCCCCAGCCAGCAUCCGGGUAAUCCCCAGCCAGCAUCCGGGUGAUCCCCAGCCAGCAUCCGGGAACUUGGCUUUUGGAACGUUUCCUGAGUGACUGGUUGACCAGGUCGUUUGUGCACUCAGGGAACUAAGCCGUUCCCUACCAGCUGCCUGGACUCUGCAGUGUGAUCAGCGCACGCCUGACUUCUGUCACCACAGUGGCUGCACAGGCAGAGGGUGCCUAUGUGACCAGCCCCCUGUAGAAGCCCCGCACUCGGAGACCUACACGGCCUCCCUGGGAAGCGACACUCUGGAUGUGUUGCUGACUUGGUUGCUGGAGCAAGACGCGUGUUUGGUGGACUCCCCUGGGUCUUUCUCCCCUGCUGAUCUUGCUACGUGGCCUUUCUCUGUAAUAAGCCAUGGAGUCCACUCUCUAAUCACGCAGUGUGUGGUGGCCCCAGGACCCCUGAGACGUGGAGCUGGCAGGGAAGACAGGCAGCUGCCCGAGGCGCUUGAGGCAGAGAAGGAUGGGGAAUAGCCUGGCUCCUCCCCGCCCCCCAUCACCCACCAGGGCCUCUCACUGUCUGAGCUCAGCCUGAGGCUAGCUGACCAGGGGUGUGGGAAGCCCAACUCUACAAAUUCGCAGCAGAUCAGCCCCCAACCCCCACAAAUUCCCAGCAGAUCAGGAAGGGCGGGGCAUGGAUGAAAGGGCAUCAGGGCCACAGGCCCAGGACAGGCACGUGGGUUGCUCUUGGAGGCAUUUGCAGGUACACUAAGAAGCUCCAGGAAGGACACACACACACACAUAUACACACACAUACACAUACAUAUGCACACACAUACAUACACAGACACACACACACACGUACACAGACACACAGACACACAUACACACACACAUUCCCCUGCCCUCCCAUCUCCAGACCUUGCGGUCCCCAUGAGCUUCCCGAUUCCUGGCACUGCCGGGCUGUCCUGAAGGCUCUUUUGGCCAGAAAUGGGCAGGGAUCUGAGAGCACCUGCUGUCGGGUGAGUCCUACUGUACUCAUGUCAGAGAUUAGGACGAGAAGACACAGGAGUGAGCUGGGCUGGAGUCUCAGCUGCAGAUGACAAGGAGAGCACAGUGGAAAGCCUGGCCCACCUCCCCUCCCCACUGGGCCCCUGGGUGGGAUACCACCAUUUCCAGAAUGGGCUGUGGGUUGCGCGGGCUCCUGAGGUUCGCUGAACCGGGGCUCUGAGGGGUCCCCAAAGUGCUUCCUCCCUGUCCUGUGCCCCCACCCCAUGGGGUGGAAGAGCCGCCCACAGGCCUGGGUUCCGCCAUGCACAAGGGAACUGGACCUUGGUGACUAUUCAGGAGGGAGUCUCCGGGCUGCCCUUCCCAUGACCACAUGUCAAUCCCCUUUGGCCCCAAGGGAAUUUCUCAUAACCCUCCCUUGGAGGAGCCCCCUCGGUGCCAGCCCACCCUCAUCACUCUCUCCUGAACCCCCAUGAACAGACUCCGUGGCGCCUCCACCUGCCUUUGUCCCGCCAACCCUCCCUGUCCAGAGCAGCCAUGGGGCCUCUUACAGUUUUAAGUCUGUCUGCAUCACGCGUUUCCUCAGAGUCUCCUCAGGCUGGGUGAGUCCUCGUCCUAAUAGGCCCUGACUGCCUGGCGCUGCCUACCUCUCCUGCCUCAGCAGGAGCUGCCCACACCUGUCCUCAGCCAACCAAGCUCCUAACCGUCGGGGAUCCUGGGACUCGGGCCUGCCUUUGCUGGACACUUCCGUCAGAUUUCUACCUGGCCACGUUCCACUCUUUCUUAAGGAUUCUGCUUAAAAGUCACGUCCUCUAAGGCUCCUCGCUGGCCUUCCCCACCACAUUGAUGUCCAGAUGAAGAAACAAAAGUUCUGAGAGGUCUUCAGGAACUUGUAUAUAAUUACAGAGGUAAUAAGGAUUGGUUGGAAAUGAAACCAAGGGCUACCUCCUGUCCCCAAAGCUCAUGCUCUUAACCCCUUCACCAUGAGUUUCUGGUUCUAUUCCUAGACUCUAGGCAUCAUAUACUCCUGUUAAUACUUUCUGUCUUCAAGCAAGUCCAUUUACAUUUAUAUUAUAAAAGGUUAAAUUGUUCAUGAAUAUAGCUUCUAGAUUCAGACCACCUGGAUUCAAAUUUAGACUCCACAUAUACUGGCUGUGAGAUAUUGCCCAGUGUGCAUAAUCUUGCCAAGGCCUCAAUUUCUUCACUUAUAGUAUAGGGAAGACAGUAUGGCCUACCUAGUGACAAUGGAUGGUUGUGAGGAUUAAACGAGAUAAAUCAUGUAAAGCAUUUGCCUGACUCUUAUUAAGUGUUCAAUAAUACUCUCAUAGAGUGUAAACUCCUUUGAAAUUAGGCAUAAGACUUUAGGUAUAUAAAGAGCCUGAACAGAGAUGUACUUGAAUUCACGUCUUUAUAAAACACAAAAAUUAUUGCAACAAUCUUCAAAUAGUCUUCAAGCCUUCUCCACACAUUGUUGUAAUCUAUGUAAAGGAAAAUAAAAAAAUCUCAGCCAGGAGCGGUGGCUGAAGCCUGUAAUCCCAGCACUUUGGGA